UGGAAGUAAAAAGUCGUAACAAGGUUUCCGUAGGUGAACCUGCGGA
rnacentral:rRNA from 1 species